rnacentral:rRNA from 1 species
UUUACGGAGAGUUUGAUCCUGGCUCAGGAUGAACGCUGGCGGCGUGCUUAACACAUGCAAGUCGAACGGUGAAGCCAAGCUUGCUUGGUGGAUCAGUGGCGAACGGGUGAGUAACACGUGAGCAACCUGCCCUGAACUCUGGGAUAAGCGCUGGAAACGGCGUCUAAUACUGGAUAUGAGCUGCGGAGGCAUCUUCGUGGUUGGAAAGAUUUUUCGGUUUGGGAUGGGCUCGCGGCCUAUCAGCUUGUUGGUGAGGUAAUGGCUCACCAAGGCGUCGACGGGUAGCCGGCCUGAGAGGGUGACCGGCCACACUGGGACUGAGACACGGCCCAGACUCCUACGGGAGGCAGCAGUGGGGAAUAUUGCACAAUGGGCGGAAGCCUGAUGCAGCAACGCCGCGUGAGGGAUGACGGCCUUCGGGUUGUAAACCUCUUUUAGCAGGGAAGAAGCGAAAGUGACGGUACCUGCAGAAAAAGCGCCGGCUAACUACGUGCCAGCAGCCGCGGUAAUACGUAGGGCGCAAGCGUUAUCCGGAAUUAUUGGGCGUAAAGAGCUCGUAGGCGGUUUGUCGCGUCUGCUGUGAAAUCUGGGGGCUCAACCCCCAGCCUGCAGUGGGUACGGGCAGACUAGAGUGCGGUAGGGGAGAUUGGAAUUCCUGGUGUAGCGGUGGAAUGCGCAGAUAUCAGGAGGAACACCGAUGGCGAAGGCAGAUCUCUGGGCCGUAACUGACGCUGAGGAGCGAAAGGGUGGGGAGCAAACAGGCUUAGAUACCCUGGUAGUCCACCCCGUAAACGUUGGGAACUAGUUGUGGGGUCCAUUCCACGGAUUCCGUGACGCAGCUAACGCAUUAAGUUCCCCGCCUGGGGAGUACGGCCGCAAGGCUAAAACUCAAAGGAAUUGACGGGGACCCGCACAAGCGGCGGAGCAUGCGGAUUAAUUCGAUGCAACGCGAAGAACCUUACCAAGGCUUGACAUACACGAGAACGCUGCAGAAAUGUAGAACUCUUUGGACACUCGUGAACAGGUGGUGCAUGGUUGUCGUCAGCUCGUGUCGUGAGAUGUUGGGUUAAGUCCCGCAACGAGCGCAACCCUCGUUCUAUGUUGCCAGCACGUAAUGGUGGGAACUCAUGGGAUACUGCCGGGGUCAACUCGGAGGAAGGUGGGGAUGACGUCAAAUCAUCAUGCCCCUUAUGUCUUGGGCUUCACGCAUGCUACAAUGGCCGGUACAAAGGGCUGCAAUACCGCGAGGUGGAGCGAAUCCCAAAAAGCCGGUCCCAGUUCGGAUUGAGGUCUGCAACUCGACCUCAUGAAGUCGGAGUCGCUAGUAAUCGCAGAUCAGCAACGCUGCGGUGAAUACGUUCCCGGGUCUUGUACACACCGCCCGUCAAGUCAUGAAAGUCGGUAACACCUGAAGCCGGUGGCCCAACCCUUGUGGAGGGAGCCGUCGAAGGUGGGAUCGGUAAUUAGGACUAAGUCGUAACAAGGUAGCCGUACCGGAAGGUGCGGCUGGAUCACCUCCUUU